rnacentral:lncRNA from 1 species
CGAGUCCCUCCCUCCGGGACGAGGAGCCGCCGCCCGGGUCCGGCCGCGUCCGAGCAGGGCCUCAGCCGGGGUCCCGGCGGGGCGACGGGACCUGCAGCCGCUGAAGGGACGGUGUUUGAGGAGAUGCUUUCAUCAUCCUGCCCUGAAAUGGCUGCAUUUUUGGAGGAGAAUAUUAGUAUCUUCUCUGAGUCUUCAGGAAGGGAGUCUGGGAACAAGGCUGCAGCAGAGAGAGCUUCACCUGGCAAUGUGGGCUGUGGGAACAGUUCCCCAGAAGCAGAGGAUACUGAUAUCCACCUGCUGUAUCUCUCCAAAAGGGCUGCUCUGCGUGGGAGGAAGCGCCUGAAGCCCAAGUCUGGGCCGGCCCCGUCAGGUGGUGAUGGCUGCGGCUCUGUGAGGCCGGGGCACCUUCCUCAGAGCCCCGAGCUCCCUGUGGACACCAAGAGGCUGAAAGAAGCCAACAAGGAGAACCUCGAGGCCGACCUGAAGGUGCCCGAGCACAGCCACUCCCAGCAGCGCUUGGACACACCCCCGAGCAGGGACCCGCCCUUGGCCAACAGGAACGAUGCUUCCAGGACAAGUGAAGCUUCUCUUGGGUUGCUUCCAGGGCAUGAGGCUUCCCCAGCUCUUCCAGAGAAAGUCAUUGCCACUCCAAGAAUUUAGAGGCUUUCAUCUAAGGUCACAGUCCCAUCCAUGUCCACAGUCCUGGUUGAAACUUAUAUAUUGUCAGGACUGUUGUAACAAUCCGUAAUAAGUUUUUAAACUGAAAUUGAUAUUUGCGUGUAUUGGCAGCACCGUUGUAGCCCUUUGCAAUAAAAUUUUUAAAUUGAACUAGGUGUUGAUUUGU